rnacentral:rRNA from 1 species
UACGAAGGGGGCUAGCGUUGCUCGGAAUCACUGGGCGUAAAGCGCACGUAGGCGGCUUUUUAAGUCAGGGGUGAAAUCCUGGAGCUCAACUCCAGAACUGCCUUUGAUACUGAGAAGCUUGAGUUCGGGAGAGGUGAGUGGAACUGCGAGUGUAGAGGUGAAAUUCGUAGAUAUUCGCAAGAACACCAGUGGCGAAGGCGGCUCACUGGCCCGAUACUGACGCUGAGGCACGAAAGCGUGGGGAUCAAACAGG